AUUUUCAUCUUUUAUAUUUUCCAAGUCAAAAAGAUAAUUUGAGAAUUGAGAUUUGAGCUUAGCAUCUCCACUUCCCGAGCAAGUAAACAUACUUUGACAAGACACGCGCCUUUGAUCGUUGAACUUGGUCAGUUGGUCUCCCCUGGCAGGCAAGCAGCUACCCCACAAGAAGCGGUCCUUACCUCUCUCUUACACGCCUUUGAGCCCCAACCCAUUCCUACAGCGAAAAGGAAACAACUUGGAAGUUAAAAGGCUUCCCACUCUCCAAAGGAUGUCAAGGUUCCUUCCUUAUAUAUAGUUUUUCUUGAAAUUGCUCCUCGUCAAAUACCUAAACACAGCAAGAAAAGCAAACUAGAAUCUUCCUCUCUAGCUUUCAAACGGGUCUUCUACUACUUGAGAUUUGGGGCGAUCAAGAUUUUCUUGAAGAGACCAUGAAUUCUAUGUUCAGUUCUUUUGAUGCUUUGUGUGCUGAGUUAUUGGGUCAAAAAGUGAGGUCUUCACUCGCUCUUACAACCAUGGAUUGCAAUACCAAGAGGGUUUUGACCGCUGGUGAUAAUAGUGAGGUGGGAGAAGAUAAGUUGAUCAAGAAUCGAGAGGGAAGCUCCUCGAGAUCGUUGGCUAGGAAACAAGAGAAGAAGGUGCCAAGGUUUGCACCAGAGCUUGAUGGACUCAACUGCUUCGAGACCAUUGUUAACUAUUGAGAUUCGAUGACAUGACGCAAUGAAGUUGUGUUUUUAUUUAUAGGGAUAUGUAGAGAAAGAAAAAGGUAGGAAUUAUUCUUUGAUUGAUCGAUCUAUCUGAAGUGGUGAUUGUAAUGUUAAAAUGUAAUUCUAAUAUACUAUUGUAUGACUAGAAUAUUCUUUUUGUUCA